rnacentral:rRNA from 1 species
UACGAAGGGGGCUAGCGUUGCUCGGAAUCACUGGGCGUAAAGGGUGCGUAGGCGGGUUUUUAAGUCAGAGGUGAAAUCCUGGAGCUCAACUCCAGAACCUGCCUUUGAUACUGGCGAUCUUGAGUCCGGGAGAGGUGAGUGGAACUGCGAGUGUAGAGGUGAAAUUCGUAGAUAUUCGCAAGAACACCAGUGGCGAAGGCGGCUCACUGGCCCGGUACUGACGCUGAGGUGCGAAAGCGUGGGGAGCAAACAGGG